rnacentral:rRNA from 1 species
GAUCUUGGUUCAGGAUGAACGCUGGCGGCGUGCUUAACACAUGCAAGUCGAACGGAGUUUUAACGGAAGUUUCGGAUGGAAGUUUAGAAACUUAGUGGCGGACGGGUGAGUAACGCGUGGGUAACCUGCCUCAUACAGGGGGAUAACAGUUAGAAAUGACUGCUAACACCGCAUAAUAUAGCGAAACCGCAUGAUUUUGCUAUCAAAUAUUUAUAGGUAUGAGAUGGGCCCGCGUCUGAUUAGCUAGUUGGUGGGGUAAAAGCCUACCAAGGCGACGAUCAGUAGCCGGCUUGAGAGAGUGACCGGCCACAUUGGGACUGAGACACGGCCCAAACUCCUACGGGAGGCAGCAGUGGGGAAUAUUGGACAAUGGGGGAAACCCUGAUCCAGCCGACGCCGCGUGAGUGAAGAAGUAUUUCGGUAUGUAAAGCUCUAUCAGCAGGGAAGAUAAUGACAGUACCUGACUAAGAAGCCCCGGCUAACUACGUGCCAGCCGCCGC